UCUGUGAGAGAGAGUAAAAUGUGUAAUGGGUGUGAAAGCUUCGGGCGCACGCACUUCCUUUAUCACACGUCAGCUUAAUACUUUCUUCUUUUUAUUUGUCGUCACAUCAAAUUACCCAAAACAUUGUAUUUACAUUUAUAUCUUUAGCAUUUAAUUACAUUAUAUUUUGAGUAAAAAUUGGGAGUAUGAUCUUAUUUUGUUGAC